rnacentral:rRNA from 1 species
UACGUAGGGGGCAAGCGUUGUCCGGAAUUAUUGGGCGUAAAGAGCGCGUAGGCGGUCCGAUAAGUCGGCUGUGAAAGUCAGGGGCUCAACCCUUGAAAGCCGGCCGAUACUGUCGGACUAGAGUCCGGAAGAGGUAAGUGGAAUUCCCGGUGUAGCGGUGAAAUGCGCAGAUAUCGGGAGGAACACCAAUGGCGAAGGCAGCUUGCUGGGACGGUACUGACGCUGAGGCGCGAAAGCGUGGGGAGCAAACAGG